rnacentral:lncRNA from 7 species
AGAGCAUUUUCAUGCACUGUGAACCCAAGACUCUAGCUUAAGAGAAGUGGCUAAAAUGGAUUUUUAUAAAUUCAGUGCAAAUGUCAAUAUUUUGAGGAAGUGAAUUUCUGCUACAAGAUGCACUCGUCUGAACUUGCUGCUUGCUAUCCAGGUUUCAUGAUCUAAAUGAUUUACUGUUCGUUGCCUCUUGAGAGACUUUACAGGACAAAACAGAGGGGAAUGGCAGAGAGGAACAGCUGAGAACAAGUGUAUGGUGGCUCUGACAAUCGCCUCCUUGUUUGCUGCCGUCUACCGGAAGACACUUACACAUAUCCAGACCUGUGUGAUCUGGAACUAAGAUCUCUUGAUUUGUUCUUCUGACUCAAACCAUCCCAGAUACGAAACUUUAUAUACUCUAGCACGACUGGCAUUGUUCAUUGCUGCGAGAUCUACGCCUUGGACUCAGAAUCACUGGCCAUAUUUUAUCUGUGUUGACUCACUUCCUAUCCAGCCCUUGGGGCAGCUCACAGCAACGCAGUCUCAGCUUUAAGGAAUGAGCACAAUAACCCCAUAUUUCUAAGAAGCGAAACGUCUGUGUUCUGGGAUCAGUGAAAGGAUCAACAGUGAUGAAAACAGUGUUUCCUUCCCCUUAUGCUGUGUGAGGGUAAUACUAAAGGAAUCUGUAGAAGUAGAUGUAAUGCUGCACCAGCCAACAAUUACCUCACAUAUUGUGAAUUCUUGUAGAGAUUUAUUUAUUUAUUUUAAUUUCCUGGUUAAUUUUGAAGUAAUCUGGAGCUCUUUCCAAAGUGCGGAAGCCUGUUCCUUAAUUAGUCCCCUUUAGUCUUAGAGACUUCCAUGUUUCUCCAAUUUCCGAAUUUUUUGAACCUGUCAUCACGGCGCUUUUGUAGCACCAUGAAGCAUUCUACCUCUGCCAGCCCCUGCUAGAGACUUGGUGCUUACCCAGGGUAUGCCACAAGUAGGACAAUAUGUGCCAUUUUAGCAGUGCUGCCGGUUUCAAACCCCUCAUGCCAGAGACAGCUGCAACUCAGAUCACUGAAAACAUAGCCCUUGUCCAGGCAAAAUCUGUUUUGGGUUGGGACAGGCAGUGGGAGCAGUGUUAGCUAUUCCCUCUGGGUGUUCUUUUGUUAGGAAAGGACAUGCUGGCAUUCUUAUUCUGUGGGGUCUUCUAUAUUAUCUUGAAAUUCCCUAAAGCAGUUGAAACCCUCCCCAGAUGGGCUUCCAAAGAGGUCUUCUGUGAAAGCUCAACUUUGUCAUUACAUCUCUUGAUAGUUAAGACUCACCUCAGCAAUUUCUCUCACUGAUUGUGUCAAAUGCCUACGUACACCUAUCAACUGAAAUUGUACCCCAGCAGGGAAAUAAGAGCCAGUGAUGUGCACAGAGGACUAAUUUCUUUUCAUCUGCUGCAGUCUAACACACAGUGCCACCAAGACUGUGCUUGUUUGAGGUCAGAUCAGGGAUGAAGACUAUCUGUAGCUGAGGUUGAGGAUGAACAAAGUGAUGUGAUGGAUGGGAAGAUGGGAGCAUUAUGGGAAACGUGAAGCCACUCUGCAAUCUCCUCUAACUGAAGGCAUGCACCUUCCAUUCCAACUGUAGAUUGUAGAGCAUCUGGCUUCCUUAUUGAAAACACUUGGAUAUUUUAUAGUGAAGAAUAUAAUGUUUCCUUGUUUGCUCUCUCUCCUCAUCUAUUAUAUUUCUGGGUAUUAUUACUGUCCCAUUUCAUGUUUAUCUAUUAAUUGUGAUAAUAGAUUAUAUAUGUUCUGCUAGAUUCAAGGUGUUUUUGUUUUUUUUUUCCUGCAUUCUUUCUAUUAUCAGCUUGUAUCAGUUUUAUAGAGAUGAAAAUACAUUCAAAUUGAAUUAGUAUUGUAAUAUGGCCACACCUGACAUGUGGGGAGAGGAAGAAAGGAGUCAACUUUCAGAAAAUCCUGUUUUUUAGAAAGUUGAGGAAGAUGAAAGAUGCUGUAGUUCACUCAGACUAUGAAAACCUUUUUGGCCAUUGCCUCUAAGGUGAACAAAACCUUUGAGGACCCACACCAGUGAAGUGAUGGCUUUCAGCAAGAAGCCUACUGGCUUUUAUCAUAUAAAAAUGAUUAAAAGCCAUUUUAGUAAGUGUAUCAAUACUAUAGUGAACCAAGAAUUAUUUUUAAUUGCAUUCAGUAAUGUAAAUUCUUAGAAGAAUUUAAGAGUGGAACAGAUCUCUGUAUGUCAUCUUGCCCAGAGCAGGACAGGCUUUGAUGAGGUUGCUCAGGACCUUCCACGGGUAAGUUCUGAUUGUCUCAAAAAUGUAGAUAAUUAAUUAGUUAAACCUAUUAUACACAGAGAAAUGAGGAAUUAUGUUGAAGACUUUGUGGUAAUUUUCUUUCAGUGCAAGAGCAUAAAAUACUAU